rnacentral:rRNA from 1 species
UACGUAGGGGGCAAGCGUUGUCCGGAAUCAUUGGGCGUAAAGAGCGUGUAGGCGGCUCGAUAAGUCUGCUGUGAAAGUCCAGGGCUCAACCCUGGAAGGCCGGUGGAAACUGUCGGGCUAGAGUCCGGAAGAGGCGAGUGGAAUUCCCGGUGUAGCGGUGAAAUGCGCAGAUAUCGGGAGGAACACCCGUAGCGAAGGCGGCACUCUGGGCCGUGACUGACGCUGAGGAGCGAAAGCGUGGGGAGCAAACAGG